CACGUAGUUAGCCGGUGCUUAUUCUUUAGGUACCGUCAGCAGAAACGGGUAUUAACCGCUCCUUUUUCUUCCCUAACAAAAGCCCUUUACAACCCGAAGGCCUUCUUCAGACACGCGGCAUGGCUGGAUCAGGCUUGCGCCCAUUGUCCAAAAUUCCCCACUGCUGCCUCCCGUAGGAGUCUGGGCCGUGUCUCAGUCCCAGUGUGGCGGAUCAUCCUCUCAGACCCGCUACUGAUCGUCGCCUUGGUAGGCCUUUACCCCACCAACUAGCUAAUCAGAUAUUGGCCGCUCGAAUAACGCAAGGCCCGAAGGUCCCCUGCUUUCCUCCUCAGAGCGUAUGCGGUAUUAGCCAAUCUUUCGAUUUGGUUAUCCCCCAUUACCCGGUACGCUUACCAAUAUAUUACUCACCCGUUCGCCACUCGCCCGGCAGUAGUGCAAGCACCUACCCCGCUCGCCGUCCGACUUGCAUGUGUAAAGCAUCGCCGCCAGCCGUU
rnacentral:rRNA from 1 species